rnacentral:rRNA from 1 species
GACAGAGGGUGCAAGCGUUGUUCGGAAUCAUUGGGCGUAAAGGGUGCGUAGGCGGUUUUAUAAGUCGGAUGUGAAAUCCCAGGGCUCAACCGUGGAAGUGCAUCCGAAACUGUAUAACUUGAAUCCCAGAGAGGGCGGUGGAAUUCCCAGUGUAGAGGUGAAAUUCGUAGAUAUUGGGAGGAACACCAGUGGCGAAGGCGGCCGCCUGGAUGGAGAUUGACGCUGAGGCGCGAGAGCGUGGGGAGCAAACAGG